rnacentral:lncRNA from 1 species
GGAACAUGGCCACAUCCCAAACUGGCUCCCCAGCAGCUCCAGGCUGGACUGUGGAAGCAGAAACCCUCCUGGCAGGCAAGCAGACACCACAACCGCCUAAGCCGAUCGAAUGCCUGCUGCACUGCUGAAGAGGAAACAGAGUCGUGGCCUCCGGGAGGGGGCUCAAACCUGUGACUGGUGCAUGUUCGCCAUUAGACACACUGGCUGGUGACCAGCAGCCCCACCUACAGAAUUCCCUGGAAUGAGGAAUGGCAUUCCUGAGACCACUCAGCAGAGACUACCUCAAAAGGCGCUGCUCAAUGCCAGGAAAUGCAGCGAGAGAAAAUCCCCUUCCGGUGCCACCUCUGUGGCCAGCACACAGGUCCCCUGCUCAGCGGGUGUGUGUAGACGUGCCCUCAGGAAGCUCAGCCCAAGGCCCUCUGGAAGUGGCCACAGCUGGACCACACGGAACUCAUCCACUGCUUCUUUGGAGCUCCAGGAAAGCGCCAGAAGAGGGGCACUGAGGCAGAGGGAAAGCUAAGCAGCCUGUGGCUCAGGGGACUACCUUGCAACUGCUUGAAUGUAAAGCAGGCAGAGAAAUCCUCCUGGGAACCUGAGGCCAGGUGUAUGAGUGGGAUUUAAGAGAGGCCAGCGCCCCUUCCGGGGUGGCCCCAGCCCAGGAGGAGGGCGUGAGAGGCACACCUGGGAAGUGUCAGAGCCUGACAGGCGUGAGCUGGAGGCCUGGCAGGAGAGUGCUCUCACCACCUGACCAUCCUGGAAAGCUGUCAAAGUCCCAGUGCCCAUGCCACACCCCACAACAAUCCAAUCAAACUCUUUGGAGGUAGGACCCAGGCGUCUCUGAUUUUUAAAAUUUCCAGGUAAUUAAAAUAUUCAGCCAUGCUUGAGAACCAGUGCUUUAAAGAGAUAUCUGAUGCAUCCCAGGCUCAUCAAACAAAACAAGUAGGGCUCUUCCUGAGUGAUUCAUCAAGCUACCUUCUCUCUAGAGGCCCUCUUCACUACUCUAGUCUCUCCAAAUCCCUGCCAUUCCUCCACAUCCAUCUCCAUUGCCACCUCCUGAUGGGAGCCCUCCAUGGCUGCCCCAGCUGCAGUGAGUGCCUUUCUUCAAGGGCCCCUGUCACUGAGGACCUGCAUAGCCAUACAUAGCCAUCAGCUGACAGGUGUUUGCCCGUCCAUUUGAGCAAUCCAUUCCUGUGGGGGCAGGUACUAUGUUGUCCAUCAUGCUUUCUCACAACCUGCUGACCUACCACCUACCACAAUUCACUGCCCACAUUAUAUGCUCAAUUAGUGUUUUCUGGCUGACUUACAUCCUAGUGCAUUUCAACAUUUCAAGCAAUCUUGGUAAGAGAGUUGAAAGAAUGUCUGAUUCAAAUUAGUGGUUUUGUUGGUGAUCAGUGAUUGUGGUGAUAGAGAUGUAUAUGAUAGGAAUGGUAUAGGAAGAAUGGCCAAGAAAUGCCUCUCAGGCUGUCUCCCAAGAUGGUAUGUAUAACCCAUAUAGCCCAAUCCUCAGGUGGUCCAGUCCCUGCACUGAACAUCUUCAAAGAUGUGGUAGUUCCACAGGGCAGUAGGCAAUGACAGGUAUUUUCUAAUUAAAAGCACUUCAAAUAUUUA